GGCCGUCUGGCGCAAUGGUAGCGCGUCCGCCUACGAUAGGCGUUCAGCGGGAGGUUGCAGGUUCGAGCCCUGCGUCGGUCA